AUCCAGUUGACGAGUCAUAAAUAGGACUAAACGCGCGUCCUGGAU
rnacentral:hammerhead_ribozyme from 1 species